GACGAACGCUGGCGGCGUGCUUAACACAUGCAAGUCGAACGCUGAAGACCUGGCUUUUGUUGGGUUGGAUGAGUGGCGCACGGGUGAGUAACACGUGAGUAACCUGCCCUCUUCUUUGGGAUAACGCCCGGAAACGGGUGCUAAUACUGGAUAUUCACUGGCCUUCGCAUGGGGGUUGGUGGAAAGGUUUGUUCUGGUGGGGGAUGGGCUCGCGGCCUAUCAUCUUGUUGGUGGGGUGAUGGCCUACCAAGGCUUUGACGGGUAGCCGGCCUGGGAGGGUGACCGGUCACAGUGGGACUGAGAUACGGCCCAGACUCCUACGGGAGGCAGCAGUGGGGAAUAUUGCACAAUGGGCGAAAGCCUGAGGCAGCGACGCCGCGUGAGGGAUGGAGGCCUGCGGGUUGUAAACCUCUUUCGCUCAUGGUCAAGCCGCAACUGUGGGUUGUGGUGAGGGUAGUGGGUAAAGAAGCGCCGGCUAACUACGUG
rnacentral:rRNA from 1 species